AACACGUGAGUAACCUGCCCCUGACUCUGGGAUAAGCGUUGGAAACGACGUCUAAUACUGGAUAUGAUCACUGGCCGCAUGGUCUGGUGGUGGAAAGAUUUUUUGGUUGGGGAUGGACUCGCGGCCUAUCAGCUUGUUGGUGAGGUAAUGGCUCACCAAGGCGACGACGGGUAGCCGGCCUGAGAGGGUGACCGGCCACACUGGGACUGAGACACGGCCCAGACUCCUACGGGAGGCAGCAGUGGGGAAUAUUGCACAAUGGGCGAAAGCCUGAUGCAGCAACGCCGCGUGAGGGAUGACGGCCUUCGGGUUGUAAACCUCUUUUAGUAGGGAAGAAGCGAGAGUGACGGUACCUGCAGAAAAAGCACCGGCUAACUACGUGCCAGCAGCCGCGGUAAUACGUAGGGUGCAAGCGUUGUCCGGAAUUAUUGGGCGUAAAGAGCUCGUAGGCGGUUUGUCGCGUCUGCUGUGAAAUCCCGAGGCUCAACCUCGGGCUUGCAGUGGGUACGGGCAGACUAGAGUGCGGUAGGGGAGAUUGGAAUUCCUGGUGUAGCGGUGGAAUGCGCAGAUAUCAGGAGGAACACCGAUGGCGAAGGCAGAUCUCUGGGCCGUAACUGACGCUGAGGAGCGAAAGCGUGGGGAGCGAACAGGAUUAGAUACCCUGGUAGUCCACGCCGUAAACGUUGGGCGCUAGAUGUAGGGACCUUUCCACGGUUUCUGUGUCGUAGCUAACGCAUUAAGCGCCCCGCCUGGGGAGUACGGCCGCAAGGCUAAAACUCAAAGGAAUUGACGGGGGCCCGCACAAGCGGCGGAGCAUGCGGAUUAAUUCGAUGCAACGCGAAGAACCUUACCAAGGCUUGACAUACACCGGAAACGGCCAGAGAUGGUCGCCCCCUUGUGGUCGGUGUACAGGUGGUGCAUGGUUGUCGUCAGCUCGUGUCGUGAGAUGUUGGGUUAAGUCCCGCAACGAGCGCAACCCUCGUUCUAUGUUGCCAGCGCGUUAUGGCGGGGACUCAUAGGAGACUGCCGGGGUCAACUCGGAGGAAGGUGGGGAUGACGUCAAAUCAUCAUGCCCCUUAUGUCUUGGGCUUCACGCAUGCUACAAUGGCCGGUACAAAGGGCUGCGAUACCGUAAGGUGGAGCGAAUCCCAAAAAGCCGGUCUCAGUUCGGAUUGAGGUCUGCAACUCGACCUCAUGAAGUCGGAGUCGCUAGUAAUCGCAGAUCAGCAACGCUGCGGUGAAUACGUUCCCGGGCCUUGUACACACCGCCCGUCAAGUCAUGAAAGUCGGUAACACCCGAAGCCG
rnacentral:rRNA from 1 species